GUUGCAUACACGUUUUCUGACUCUGAAGUGGGGAAAACAAGCACAAGGGGCCUGCUAUCAAGGAGACUGUAAUACAGAUCCUUCCACAGAAGCCAGGAAGAGUUCACAAAGAGAAGAUUCCCGUGGAGGUAAGUGCAAGAAAUUGCCAAGUACCAUCAGAAAGCAACCCAAUGUGGAUGAGGAUCCGGCUGUGGAGCAGAGUUUGAAGGAAAAGCACAAAGGAGUGUCUAAGAGAGUGCCCAGCUCUGAAGAGUAUCCAUCAGAUCAAAUUAAGGGCCUGUCUUGGAGACAGAAACAUUGAUCUGCUAUCCAGCGUUCAGUGGGAGCCAGAUGAAGGUGAAAUGCUGCUUCAUCCAAGUCUUGCAGAUAAACCUCAAGAAGUUAGGUGUGCUCAGAUACACAGUUAAACAUGAUGGAGGCUGAUAGUGCCCUGAGAAGUGGGUAAUACUGGUCUCUUACCUCAGCUCAAACUAAGAGAACUGAACCCGCAGUCUAACAUAUGGGUCCUCACUACAAGACUUGGUAGUAGUUUAAGACCACGCUCUGUUGAUUGCAGCUGAUUCUUCUGUGCUCCAAGAAAGGGAGAGUCAUGGU
rnacentral:lncRNA from 1 species